UUAAGCGACUAAGCGUACACGGUGGAUGCCCUGGCAGUCAGAGGCGAUGAAGGACGUGCUAAUCUGCGAAAAGCGUCGGUAAGGUGAUAUGAACCGUUAUAACCGGCGAUGUCCGAAUGGGGAAACCCAGUGCAAUUCGUUGCACUAUCGUUAACUGAAUACAUAGGUUAACGAGGCGAACCGGGGGAACUGAAACAUCUAAGUACCCCGAGGAAAAGAAAUCAACCGAGAUUCCCCCAGUAGCGGCGAGCGAACGGGGAGCAGCCCAGAGUCUGAAUCAGCUUGUGUGUUAGUGGAACGGUCUGGAAAGUCCGACGGUACAGGGUGAUAGUCCCGUACACCAAAAUGCACAGGCUGUGAACUCGAAGAGUAGGGCGGGACACGUGGUAUCCUGUCUGAAUAUGGGGGGACCAUCCUCCAAGGCUAAAUACUCCUGACUGACCGAUAGUGAACCAGUACCGUGAGGGAAAGGCGAAAAGAACCCCGGCGAGGGGAGUGAAAAAGAACCUGAAACCGUGUACGUACAAGCAGUGGGAGCACCUUCGGGUGUGACUGCGUACCUUUUGUAUAAUGGGUCAGCGACUUAUAUUCUGUAGCAAGGUUAACCGUAUAGGGGAGCCGCAGGGAAACCGAGUCUUAACUGGGCGUUAAGUUGCAGGGUAUAGACCCGAAACCCGGUGAUCUAGCCAUGGGCAGGUUGAAGGUUGGGUAACACUAACUGGAGGACCGAACCGACUAAUGUUGAAAAAUUAGCGGAUGACUUGUGGCUGGGGGUGAAAGGCCAAUCAAACCGGGAGAUAGCUGGUUCUCCCCGAAAGCUAUUUAGGUAGCGCCUCGUGAACUCAUCUUCGGGGGUAGAGCACUGUUUCGGCUAGGGGGUCAUCCCGACUUACCAACCCGAUGCAAACUACGAAUACCGAAGAAUGUUAUCACGGGAGACACACGGCGGGUGCUAACGUCCGUCGUGAAGAGGGAAACAACCCAGACCGCCAGCUAAGGUCCCAAAGUCAUGGUUAAGUGGGAAACGAUGUGGGAAGGCACAGACAGCCAGGAUGUUGGCUUAGAAGCAGCCAUCAUUUAAAGAAAGCGUAAUAGCUCACUGGUCGAGUCGGCCUGCGCGGAAGAUGUAACGGGGCUAAACCAUGCACCGAAGCUGCGGCAGCGACACUAUGUGUUGUUGGGUAGGGGAGCGUUCUGUAAGCCUGCGAAGGUGUGCUGUGAGGGUUGCUGGAGGUAUCAGAAGUGCGAAUGCUGACAUAAGUAACGAUAAAGCGGGUGAAAAGCCCGCUCGCCGGAAGACCAAGGGUUCCUGUCCAACGUUAAUCGGGGCAGGGUGAGUCGACCCCUAAGGCGAGGCCGAAAGGCGUAGUCGAUGGGAAACAGGUUAAUAUUCCUGUACUUGGUGUUACUGCGAAGGGGGGACGGAGAAGGCUAUGUUAGCCGGGCGACGGUUGUCCCGGUUUAAGCAUGUAGGCUGAUUGUCCAGGCAAAUCCGGAUAAUCAAGGCUGAGGUGUGAUGACGAGGCACUACGGUGCUGAAGUAACAAAUGCCCUGCUUCCAGGAAAAGCCUCUAAGCAUCAGGUAACAUCAAAUCGUACCCCAAACCGACACAGGUGGUCAGGUAGAGAAUACCAAGGCGCUUGAGAGAACUCGGGUGAAGGAACUAGGCAAAAUGGUGCCGUAACUUCGGGAGAAGGCACGCUGGUGUGUAGGUGAAGCCCCUGCGGGUGGAGCUGAGACCAGUCGAAGAUACCAGCUGGCUGCAACUGUUUAUUAAAAACACAGCACUGUGCAAACACGAAAGUGGACGUAUACGGUGUGACGCCUGCCCGGUGCCGGAAGGUUAAUUGAUGGGGUUAUCCGUAAGGAGAAGCUCUUGAUCGAAGCCCCGGUAAACGGCGGCCGUAACUAUAACGGUCCUAAGGUAGCGAAAUUCCUUGUCGGGUAAGUUCCGACCUGCACGAAUGGCGUAAUGAUGGCCAGGCUGUCUCCACCCGAGACUCAGUGAAAUUGAACUCGCUGUGAAGAUGCAGUGUACCCGCGGCAAGACGGAAAGACCCCGUGAACCUUUACUAUAGCUUGACACUGAACAUUGAGCCUUGAUGUGUAGGAUAGGUGGGAGGCUUUGAAGCGUGGACGCCAGUCUGCGUGGAGCCAACCUUGAAAUACCACCCUUUAAUGUUUGAUGUUCUAACGUUGGCCCCUUACCGGGGUUGCGGACAGUGUCUGGUGGGUAGUUUGACUGGGGCGGUCUCCUCCCAAAGCGUAACGGAGGAGCACGAAGGUUAGCUAAUCCUGGUCGGACAUCAGGAGGUUAGUGCAAUGGCAUAAGCUAGCUUGACUGCGAGCGUGACGGCGCGAGCAGGUGCGAAAGCAGGUCAUAGUGAUCCGGUGGUUCUGAAUGGAAGGGCCAUCGCUCAACGGAUAAAAGGUACUCCGGGGAUAACAGGCUGAUACCGCCCAAGAGUUCAUAUCGACGGCGGUGUUUGGCACCUCGAUGUCGGCUCAUCACAUCCUGGGGCUGAAGUAGGUCCCAAGGGUAUGGCUGUUCGCCAUUUAAAGUGGUACGCGAGCUGGGUUUAGAACGUCGUGAGACAGUUCGGUCCCUAUCUGCCGUGGGCGCUGGAGAAUUGAGGGGGGCUGCUCCUAGUACGAGAGGACCGGAGUGGACGCAUCACUGGUGUUCGGGUUGUCAUGCCAAUGGCACUGCCCGGUAGCUAAAUGCGGAAGAGAUAAGUGCUGAAAGCAUCUAAGCACGAAACUUGCCCCGAGAUGAGUUCUCCCUGAGACUUUAAGUCUCCUGAAGGAACGUUGAAGACGACGACGUUGAUAGGCCGGGUGUGUAAGCGCAGCGAUGCGUUGAGCUAACCGGUACUAAUGAACCGUGAGGCUUAACCUU
rnacentral:rRNA from 1 species